CUUGCUCUUUGAUUCAGCGGCGGACGGGUGAGUAAUGCCUAGGAAUCUGCCUGGUAGUGGGGGACAACGUUUCGAAAGGAACGCUAAUACCGCAUACGUCCUACGGGAGAAAGUGGGGGAUCUUCGGACCUCACGCUAUCAGAUGAGCCUAGGUCGGAUUAGCUAGUUGGUGGGGUAAUGGCCUACCAAGGCGACGAUCCGUAACUGGUCUGAGAGGAUGAUCAGUCACACUGGAACUGAGACACGGUCCAGACUCCUACGGGAGGCAGCAGUGGGGAAUAUUGGACAAUGGGCGCAAGCCUGAUCCAGCCAUGCCGCGUGUGUGAAGAAGGUCUUCGGAUUGUAAAGCACUUUAAGUUGGGAGGAAGGGCAGUACGUUAAUACCGUGUUGUCUUGACGUUACCAACAGAAUAAGCACCGGUUAACUUCGUGCCAGCAGCCGCGGUAAUACGAAGGGUGCAAGCGUUAAUCGGAAUUACUGGGCGUAAAGCGCGCGUAGGUGGUUUG
rnacentral:rRNA from 1 species